CAGCCGCCACGGGAAAACGGAGGGGGCUAGCGUUGUUCGGAAUUACUGGGCGUAAAGCGUGCGCAGGCGGUUGUGUAAGACAGGUGUGAAAUCCCCGGGCUCAACCUGGGAACUGCAUCUGUGACUGGCGAGCUAGAGUAUGGCAGAGGGGGGUAGAAUUCCACGUGUAGCAGUGAAAUGCGUAGAGAUGUGGAGGAAUACCGAUGGCGAAGGCAGCCCCCUGGGCCAAUACUGACGCUCAUGCACGAAAGCGUGGGGAGCAAACAGGAUUAGAGACCCCCGUAGUCCCUGUCUCUUAUAC
rnacentral:rRNA from 1 species